CACAGGCUGGCGGUGCUGGGAAGAGGAAGAGAGAGACGGGUUUCCUAGGCAACGAUGCAAACUACGUCCUCUUAUAUUCGUCAAUUCAUGGAAAUUCCUAGUAGGUUGAUUGUGGCAAGUCAAGAGACUAUAGAGAGAUGAUAUGAGGCCACGAGAAUUCAUGCACUGCGGACAAAAGGUCUCUAAAGGAGUAAACUGAACAGUCACUACUCCCAUCGGAUGCAAGUAAAAUGGGAUUCUAUUGCAUAGCAGUGUUUAUAGUUUAUAGGUCGUCUGGAACCUACCCGCUACAGGCACUAUAAUUGAAAAUACUGAGGUGGAAAGGGAUUUAGGAGUCACUAUUUCAAGUGACUUAAAGGCAGAGAAGCAAUGCAACAAAGCAAUG